CGCCUGGGAAUUACGAGCCAAGCUUAAAACCCAAAGGACUUGACGGUGUCCUAUCCACCUAGAGGAGCCUGUUCUAUAAUCGAUACUCCACGCUAUACCCUACCAUUUCUUGUAUACCAGCCUGUAUACCUCCGUCGCAAGCCUACCAUGUGAGUGACUCGCAGUAGGCCCAACCAGAUUCUUCCACCAAUACGUCAGGUCAAGGUGCAGCUUAUGAAGUGGAAAGCAAUGGGCUACAAUUUCUAACUUAGAACAUACCAAACGCUGUAUGAAACACAGCCAUAAAGGCGGAUUUAGUAGUAAAAAGAAAAUAGUAUAUUCUUUUUAACCCGGCACUAGGACGUG
rnacentral:rRNA from 1 species